CAUGUCUAAGUAUAAACUUACUAAAAGUGAAACCGCGAAUGGCUCAUUAAAUCAGUUAUGGUUUAUUAGAUCGUCCCAAUCACAUGGAUAACUGUGGUAAUUCUAGAGCUAAUACAUGCUGAAACGUCGAACCGCGAGGUUUUGACUGCUUUUAUUAGAACAAAAACUAACAGUUUUUGUGGUGACUCUGGAUAACUUUGUGCCGAUCGCAUGGUCUCGUACCGGCGACGUAUCUUUCAAAUGUCUGCCUUAUCAACUGUCGAUGGUAGGUUAUAUGCCUACCAUGGUUGUAACGGGUAACGGAGAAUCAGGGUUCGAUUCCGGAGAGGGAGCCUGAGAAACGGCUACCACAUCCAAGGAAGGCAGCAGGCGCGCAAAUUACCCACUCCCGGCUCGGGGAGGUAGUGACGAUAAAUAACAACGCAGGUCUCAAACGAGACCCUGUAAUUGGAAUGAGAUCACUUUAAAUCCUUUAACGAGGAUCUAUUGGAGGGCAAGUCUGGUGCCAGCAGCCGCGGUAAUUCCAGCUCCAAAAGCGUAUAUUAAAGUUGUUGCAGUUAAAAAGCUCGUAGUUGGAUCUCGGGUAACGGGAGGAGGCCCGCUUAACCGCGAUCGCUUCCUCGUCCGACCUAUCAUUCGUCCUGGGCUAGGUGCUCUUCACCGGGUGUCUAGUUUAGAACGGAACGUUUACUUUGAAAAAAUUAGAGUGCUCAAAGCAGGCUCGAAGCCUCGAAUAUCGGUGCAUGGAAUAAUGGAAUAGGACCUCGGUUCUAUUUUGUUGGUUUUCGGAAUCCGAGGUAAUGAUUAAGAGGAACGGACGGGGGCAUCCGUACUGUGGCGCUAGAGGU
rnacentral:rRNA from 1 species